rnacentral:tRNA from 1 species
UGUAGCUCAGUGGUAGAGUACAUGCUUAGCAUACUUGAGGCUCUGGGUUCAAUCCCCAGCA